rnacentral:rRNA from 1 species
UACAGAGGGGGCAAGCGUUGUUCGGAAUUACUGGGCGUAAAGGGCGCGUAGGCGGCCUGUUAAGUCGAACGUGAAAUCCCCGGGCUCAACCCGGGAACUGCGUCCGAUACUGGCAGGCUUGAAUCCGGGAGAGGGAUGCGGAAUUCCAGGUGUAGCGGUGAAAUGCGUAGAUAUGCGGAGGAACACCGAUGGCGAAGGCAGUCCCCUGGGCCUGUACUGACGCUCAUGCACGAAAGCGUGGGGAGCAAACAGG